rnacentral:rRNA from 1 species
UACGGAGGGGGCUAGCGUUGUUCGGAAUCACUGGGCGUAAAGGGCGUGUAGGCGGUUUGUCUAGUCAGACGUGAAAGCCCCGGGCUUAACCUGGGAUGUGCGUUUGAUACUGGCAGACUCGAGAUCGGGAGAGGAAAGUAGAAUUUCCAGUGUAGAGGUGAAAUUCGUAGAUAUUGGAAGGAAUACCAGUGGCGAAGGCGGCUUUCUGGACCGAAUCUGACGCUGAGGCGCGAAAGCGUGGGGAGCAAACAGG